UACGAAGGGGGCUAGCGUUGUUCGGAAUUACUGGGCGUAAAGCGUGCGCAGGCGGCUUCUCAAGUCAGGGGUGAAAGCCCAGAGCUCAACUCUGGAAUUGCCUUUGAGACUGAGUGGCUUGAGUACGAGAGAGGUGAGUGGAAUUCCCAGUGUAGAGGUGAAAUUCGUAGAUAUUGGGAAGAACACCGGUGGCGAAGGCGGCUCACUGGCUUGUAACUGACGCUCAUGCACGACAGCGUGGGGAUCAAACAGG
rnacentral:rRNA from 1 species